UAAAUAAAUAAAUAAAUAAAUAAUAUUGGACCGAUACAGAGAAGAUUAGCAUGGCUUCUGCACAAGGAUGACUCGGCAAAUUCGUGAAGGGUUCCAUGUUUUU